rnacentral:lncRNA from 7 species
UUUGUAACAAAGGCUGUUCUGAAGGUUAUACUGAAUUUGUGCCUUGUAAAACUUUCUUGCUGGAAUUACAGCAUUUAAGGCAAUAGAAAAGCCUAAAGUCCAAUCUUUCUGGAAAUGGAAUGUGCCUAAUUUUGGAAUUACUGGCAUCUGUACAUCAUUUCGGUGGUAAAUUACGGUUGGGAUAUGUUAACCCCAAAGUCAUCAUAAGGAGACUCAGAAACAGUUCAUGAUUUCCUGUGAUGAGAAACUUGUUUUCAUAUCCUGAAUGGAUUUUCAUAUCUUUGGAAGAAAAUCUUUCUUGUGUACAUACACAUUCUUCAUGUGAUCAAAGUGAGGUCCUGUUCCCUUCAGCUGCCUUCUGGACAUCACUGCCUCUCUGGUGGAACAGCAGAACAGAUGUUAACUACAGCAGUUGCUCUCAGUAAAUGGCUCACUUUCUGUAGUGGCUCAUCUACCUUCUGGCUGAGCAGAAGAACAAUCUGAUAUCAAUUGUAAUGCCAUCCUCAAAGCCAUCCUUCAAAUGUGUGGAGUGGGAGAAGUGAAGGGUAUGCAACAGACAGGCUCUCAUUUCUCAGCUGCUUUUUGUCUUCACUCACUGCUCCUUCCUCGUCAGUCAGCCACUUGCUGCCCUCAUCUCACACAGAAACCCCAGGAAAACCUUCCCAUGCAUUCCCUAGCAGGGGAUGCUCUCGUAGUCCAAACAUGAAUGUUGCCAGAGCCACAACCUGUUCCUUGUUCAGCUCAGCACAGCACAUCUAAGCAGAUGGUGAGUAAUGGCAUGCAAUGCCUACUUAUCUUCCUGUGCUUUCCUCCAUAUGGUUCCUGUAUUAGGCCUGGAAACAAACUGAAGGAGGUAGUAUGAAUAGGAAAUGAAUUCCAUUAAGCUCCACAAAGUUGCUGUUAAAAAUUGCUGUGUCCUUGUACUGAUACAAGAGUGGCUGAGUCAUUUCAGACCUGAGAUGGGAAUAUGCAGCUCCCCUGAUGUUCGCAGGGUUACAACUACCUGUAUCACAUAAAAAUGUUACGAUACGGUGCAUUAGCUUGCAAGCCACUUCAGCACACUCUCCAGUUUCUCAUUUUCUCUUUAAAAUCAUCUCAAAGCAAGUGUGAGAUCUUGCUGCAUUCAUAUAUAUCUAAAUGUUCUGAUAUGAUGCAGGACUACACAGUCCUAGAAAUGGAUAAUGUUGCUUGCUCCUUUUGGUGGUGUGGUAGAUAAUAUUUAAACAUAUAAAACAGCCUGAUAUUAAAAAGGAUGUGCUUAGAUAAUCUUAGAUUUAGGCUUACAUUAUUUGGGGUUAAAAGGGGCUGCUUAAAAAUGUCAAAAUUUCAGGAUUUAGAAUAGCAUUCUCAAAAGAACCCUAUAAGGGUUUAUGAGUGUAGCUGUCACUACAAGCAUACUACUGUAGCAUUCAGUGAAACAACUUCCUAAAUACCUGAAGGCCAGAAUUACUUUACAGCUAUUUUUGGUGUAUUAAUUUCUCUGUCACUUGGUGCUAAAUCCCCAGGAGACAGCUGCAACAUGAGAGUUGCACAAAACCCAAGAAGAAAUGAGCAAGAACGUACCAUCCAGCAGCAGCCCUGCAAAUAGGGAAAAGGGAGAAGCAAGUCUUGGGUUCUUGUCCCAUCUUCAGGGAUGGUUCAUGGAUUUUACAUUGAAAAAUGAUAGAAUAAAU